rnacentral:misc_RNA from 1 species
UCCGGCUUAUCACCGGCAGUCCCCCUAGAGUGCCCAACUAAAUGAUGGCAACUAAGGGCGAGGGUUGCGCUCGUUGCGGGACUUAACCCAACAUCUCACGGCACGAGCUGACGACAGCCAUGCACCACCUUUGAAGGUGCCCCGAAGGGAGACCGUGUUUCCACGGCUGUCACUUACAUGUCAAGCCCAGGUAAGGUUCUUCGCGUUGCAUCGAAUUAAACCACAUGCUCCGCUGCUUGUGCGGGCCCCCGUCAAUUCCUUUGAGUUUUAGCCUUGCGGCCGUACUCCCCAGGCGGGGCAUUUAAUGCGUUAGCGCCGGCACGGGAGGAGUCGACACCUCCCGCACCUAAUGCCCAUCGUUUACGGCGUGGACUAC